rnacentral:tRNA from 1 species
CGGGGCGUAGCUCAGUUUGGUAGAGCGCACGGUUCGGGACCGUGAGGUCGGCAGUUCAAAUCUGCCCGCCCCGA